rnacentral:tRNA from 1 species
GCGGUGAUGGCAGAGUGGUCAAAUGCGCACGCUUGGAAAGCGUGUUUCUUCACGGGAGCGGGGGUUCAAAUCCCUCUCACCGCG